rnacentral:misc_RNA from 1 species
GUGUUUAAAUCAAUUUGAAUUAGAAUUAGAAUCAAUACUAUGGUUCACUCGGUGUUUGGUUAACACUCGACACGCAACCGCGUGCAAGUUUGUUCAAUCAUACCAGAAAUGAUCCUUCCGCAGGUUCACCUACGGAAA